rnacentral:rRNA from 1 species
UACGUAGGGUGCGAGCGUUGUCCGGAAUUAUUGGGCGUAAAGAGCUUGUAGGCGGUUUGUCGCGUCUGCCGUGAAAAUCCGGGGCUCAACCCCGGACUUGCGGUGGGUACGGGCAGACUAGAGUGUGGUAGGGGAGACUGGAAUUCCUGGUGUAGCGGUGAAAUGCGCAGAUAUCAGGAGGAACACCAAUGGCGAAGGCAGCUCGCUGGAACGGUACUGACGCUGAGGCGCGAAAGCGUGGGGAGCAAACAGG